AGCAAAAAUCACUCAUUUUCUCUUUGAAAAUUUCCCAUUUAGCCCCAAAAUCACGCAUUUUUUUCCACAAAAAUCCCCUAUUUAACGCGAAAAUUACCUGUUUUCUUUUAAAAAAUCCCCAUUUACGCAAAAAUCAACCAUCUUCUCUUCGAAAAAUCCCUGAUCUAAGCGAAAAUCACCCAUUUUCUCUUUGAAAACCCCCCAUUUAACCCAAAAAUCACCCAUUUUCUCUUUGAAAAGCCCCCAUUUAACCCAAAAAUCACCCAUUUUCUCUUUGAAAAUCCCCCUUUUAACCCCAAAAUCACCCAUUUUCCCUUCGAGAAUCCCUCAUUUACGCAAAAAUCACCCAUUUUCUCCUUGAAAAUCCCCCAUUUAAGAGAAAAUCAUUCAUUUACUCUUUGAAAAUCCUUCAUUUUAGCAAAAAUAAUCCAUUUUUUCUUUGAAAAUCCCCCAUUUACCACAAAAAUUACCUGUUUUCACUUCGAGAAUCCCUCAUUUACGCAGAAAUCACCCAUUUUCUCUUCAAAAAUCCCCCAUUUAUCCCCCAAAUCACCCAUUUUCUCUUUGAAAAUCCCCCAUUUAUCUUCAAAAUCAUGAAUUUUCUAUUCGAAAAAACUCAAUUUAACCGAAAAUCACUCAUUUGCUCUUAAAAAAAUUCCCAUUUAACCCAACAAUCAUGCAUUUUUUCUUUGAAAAUCCCCUAUUUAACCCCAAAAUCACCCGUUUUCUUUUCGAAAAUCCCCCAUUUAUGCAAAAAUCAACCAUUUUAUCUUCGAGAAUCCGUCAUUUACGCAGAAAUCACCCAUUUUCUCUUCAAAAAUCCCCCUUUUAAGCCCAAAAUCAUGCAUUUUCUCUUCGAAAAAACCCGAUGUAAGUGAAAAUCACUCAUUUUCUCUUAAAAAAAAUUCCCAUUUAACCCAAAAAUCACGCAUUUUCUCUUUGAAAAUCCCCCAUUUAACCCCAAAAUCACCCGUUUUCCCUUCGAGAAUCCCUCAUUUACGCAAAAAUCACCCAUUUUCUCUUUGAAAAUCCCCCAUUUAACCCAAUAAUCACCCAUUUUCUCCUUGAAAAUCCCCUAUUUAAGCGAAAAUCAUUCAUUUGCUCUUUGAAAAUCCUUCAUUUUAGCGAAAAUAAUCCAUUUUUCUUUGAAAAUCCCCCAUUUACCACAAAAAUCACUUGUUUUUUUUUCAAAAAUCCCUAAUUUACGCAGAAAUCACCCAUUUUCUCCGCAAAAAUCUCCGAUCUAAGCGAAAAUCACCCAUUUUCUCUUCAAAAAUCCCCCAUUUAUCCCCCAAAUCAUGCAUUUUCUCUUCGAAAAAACCCGACUUAACCGAAAAUCACUCAUUUUCUCUUAAAAAAAUUUCCCAUUUAACCCAACAAUC
ensembl:lncRNA